rfam:Schistosoma mattheei strain Denwood, Zambia genome assembly, scaffold: SMTD_scaffold0002100
AUCCAGUUGACGAUUCCCAAACAGAACGAAACGCGCGUCCUGGAU